CGCGGCCUAUCAGCUUGUUGGCGGGGUAAUGGCCCACCAAGGCGACGACGGGUAGCUGGUCUGAGAGGAUGGCCAGCCACAUUGGGACUGAGAGACGGCCCAGACUCCUACGGGAGGCAGCAGUGGGGAAUCUUGCGCAAUGGCCGAAAGGCUGACGCAGCGACGCCGCGUGUGGGAGGACGCCUUUCGGGGUGUAAACCACUGUUGCCCGGGACGAACAGCCCUUUUCGAGGGGUCUGACGGUACCGGGUGAGGAAGCACCGGCUAACUCCGUGCCAGCAGCCGCGGUAAUACGGAGGGUGCGAGCGUUGUCCGGAAUCAUUGGGCGUAAAGGGCGCGUAGGUGGCGCGGUAAGCGUGCGGUGAAAGCCUGGGGCUCAACCCCGGGUCGGCCGUGCGAACUGCUGGGCUUGAGCACUGUAGAGGCAGGCGGAAUUCCGGGUGUAGCGGUGGAAUGCGUAGAGAUCCGGAAGAACACCGGUGGCGAAGGCGGCCUGCUGGGCAGUUGCUGACACUGAGGCGCGACAGCGUGGGGAGCAAACAGGAUUAGAUACCCUGGUAGUCCACGCCGUAAACGAUGGGCACUAGGCGCUUGGGGGAGCGACCCCCCGAGGGCCGGCGCUAACGCAUUAAGUGCCCCGCCUGGGGAGUACGG
rnacentral:rRNA from 1 species